rnacentral:rRNA from 1 species
CACGGGGGGAGCAAGCGUUGUUCGGAAUCACUGGGCGUAAAGGGCGCGUAGGCGGCCUUCUAAGUCGAACGUGAAAUCCCCGGGCUCAACCCGGGAACUGCGUCCGAUACUGGAAGGCUUGAAUCCGGGAGAGGGAUGCGGAAUUCCAGGUGUAGCGGUGAAAUGCGUAGAUAUCUGGAGGAACACCGGUGGCGAAGGCGGCAUCCUGGACCGGCAUUGACGCUGAGGCGCGAAAGCCAGGGGAGCAAACGGG